rnacentral:lncRNA from 1 species
AAGAGAGAGGGAUUCACUCUGAGGCCUUCAUGUCCCCACCUCUCUAGGUCCCCAGCCCUGGCCACCUCCUUUCUCCAGAGCCCCCCCAUGGCCUGCCCAAAAGUCUAGGGCGAGUCAGGAGGGGACCGCGCUCCUGGCUGGGGCAGGUGUGGAAGGCCGGGGCUCACAUGGAUCUGUCCAUCCUGAUUCUCCUUCUGCUGUUACUGCUGCUGUUACUAGGUCGAUUAAGGCGCGAAUACCGGCUAAGCACCACAGCUCACCCAAAAGGGAGAAAAAGAUACUCAGGAGAUCCAGCCAGCGGCCCACGGUCAUCAACAGAAGGAAGAGGCCACCCAUGCGCACCAGCACCGUCUGGACCUGGCCCUGUAGGCUGAAGCGAUGUUGCCACUGCUCCUCUGUGGGACGCGGUUGUCACUGUCUCAGCCGGCACCUUCUGGAGAUCAGCUGGGGCCAGCCUGUUUCACUUCUCAGCUGCCUUCCCCGGGGAUCUUGUCAGCUUCCCUGACUGCCUUCCCACAGCCCUGCUUCUGUCUCUGGGCACCUACAGGACUUCUUACCCACCCUUAAGUUUCCCCCUGGUUGAGGACAGAGCCCUGCCAGUCGAUGGCAGGAAUCUAAGGUUCUCCCCCUUUCUGCCUGUCAGUUUGAAUCAUCCGCAGCUCAGUUGGCUUCUGCCAGUCUCUCUCUUGUUCCAUCCUGGUCCCAGCCACCUUCCCCUCUUGCCGAAGCUCACUCAUCAAGGCGCCUGAGUUUUGUUCCCGACCAAGCUCUACUGACCAUCUAAAGCGACCUAAACACACCAAUAAGAUGACACCAUCCCUCUGCUUUUAGAGAACUCUAAUGGAAGUCUUGUUUUCCACAGUC